UACGUAGGUGGCAAGCGUUGUCCGGAUUUACUGGGCGUAAAGAGCGCGCAGGCGGUCGGAUCAGUCGAAUGUGAAAGCCCCCGGCUCAACUGGGGAGGGUCACGCGAUACUGCUCGACUCGAAGGCAGGAGAGGGAAGUGGAAUUCCCGGUGUAGUGGUGAAAUGCGUAGAUAUCGGGAGGAACACCAGUGGCGAAGGCGACUACCUGGCCUGUUCUUGACGCUGAGGCGCGAAAGCUAGGGGAGCAAACGGG
rnacentral:rRNA from 1 species